AAAUUGAAGAGUUUGAUCAUGGCUCAGAUUGAACGCUGGCGGCAGGCCUAACACAUGCAAGUCGAGCGGUAGCACAGAGAGCUUGCUCUCGGGUGACGAGCGGCGGACGGGUGAGUAAUGUCUGGGAAACUGCCUGAUGGAGGGGGAUAACUACUGGAAACGGUAGCUAAUACCGCAUAACGUCGCAAGACCAAAGUGGGGGACCUUCGGGCCUCAUGCCAUCAGAUGUGCCCAGAUGGGAUUAGCUAGUAGGUGGGGUAACGGCUCACCUAGGCGACGAUCCCUAGCUGGUCUGAGAGGAUGACCAGCCACACUGGAACUGAGACACGGUCCAGACUCCUACGGGAGGCAGCAGUGGGGAAUAUUGCACAAUGGGCGCAAGCCUGAUGCAGCCAUGCCGCGUGUGUGAAGAAGGCCUUCGGGUUGUAAAGCACUUUCAGCGGGGAGGAAGGCGGUGAGGUUAAUAACCUCAUCGAUUGACGUUACCCGCAGAAGAAGCACCGGCUAACUCCGUGCCAGCAGCCGCGGUAAUACGGAGGGUGCAAGCGUUAAUCGGAAUUACUGGGCGUAAAGCGCACGCAGGCGGUCUGUCAAGUCGGAUGUGAAAUCCCCGGGCUCAACCUGGGAACUGCAUUCGAAACUGGCAGGCUAGAGUCUUGUAGAGGGGGGUAGAAUUCCAGGUGUAGCGGUGAAAUGCGUAGAGAUCUGGAGGAAUACCGGUGGCGAAGGCGGCCCCCUGGACAAAGACUGACGCUCAGGUGCGAAAGCGUGGGGAGCAAACAGGAUUAGAUACCCUGGUAGUCCACGCCGUAAACGAUGUCGAUUUGGAGGUUGUGCCCUUGAGGCGUGGCUUCCGGAGCUAACGCGUUAAAUCGACCGCCUGGGGAGUACGGCCGCAAGGUUAAAACUCAAAUGAAUUGACGGGGGCCCGCACAAGCGGUGGAGCAUGUGGUUUAAUUCGAUGCAACGCGAAGAACCUUACCUGGUCUUGACAUCCACAGAACUUAGAGAUGCUUGGUGCCUUCGGGAACUGUGAGACAGGUGCUGCAUGGCUGUCGUCAGCUCGUGUUGUGAAAUGUUGGGUUAAGUCCCGCAACGAGCGCAACCCUUAUCCUUUGUUGCCAGCGGUUAGGCCGGGAACUCAAAGGAGACUGCCAGUGAUAAACUGGAGGAAGGUGGGGAUGACGUCAAGUCAUCAUGGCCCUUACGACCAGGGCUACACACGUGCUACAAUGGCAUAUACAAAGAGAAGCGACCUCGCGAGAGCAAGCGGACCUCAUAAAGUAUGUCGUAGUCCGGAUUGGAGUCUGCAACUCGACUCCAUGAAGUCGGAAUCGCUAGUAAUCGUAGAUCAGAAUGCUACGGUGAAUACGUUCCCGGGCCUUGUACACACCGCCCGUCACACCAUGGGAGUGGGUUGCAAAAGAAGUAGGUAGCUUAACCUUCGGGAGGGCGCUUACCACUUUGUGAUUCAUGACUGGGGUGAAGUCGUAACAAGGUAACCGUAGGGGAACCUGCGGUUGGAUCACCUCCUUACCUUAAAGAA
rnacentral:rRNA from 1 species